AAGAUUCUCAGAGGGCGGAGCCAGAGAGCAGUGACUGGUCAGACCAGAGAUACAUAGAGAAGACAGCGCGGUAGCGUAUCUAGUCUUCUCUGUAUGGUAGCAUCUCUGGCAGCUGUUGACUUUGUUUUUGGAGUAAAACACGGUGGAAGCUGAAUUAGUGAGGAUGACUCCUGCUCCUGUCAUCUCUAAGCUCCUCACACAUCUUUACCUGCACAUGAGGAAAAUCACUCUUGUAGAAUGAAGAUGUUCAGAGGGAGAUGAUGCCACAUCUGGUCCAGCUGAUGGAAGGUCUUGAAGUUCUCUGACUGGCCUGGACUGAAGAUGGUCGUCUCACUGGAUUCAAGGUUCAGAUGCUCAGUAAUAAACUCCACCAAUGUGCCAACAGGGAAGCUUUAGCUUUAUUGCUUUGUUGCUAUGAAGGUAUCGCUGUUUUUCUUUGUGAAUGCAAUGUGCUCCAACUGAAACUUGAAUUGGAACUUAGAAGUAAAUCCUUCCAUCUGAAAGGAUUUAGUUGCAUUAAUAACCUCAUAACAUUCAAAUUUUUAUUCGGUCUUGGUUGGAAAUAGAAUCUCUGUAUUGAUUCAGGUAAAAACUGAACUUCACAGCAUGUUGGAGCAAAACAACCAGAUGAAAAUUGUGAUGGUGUUGGAUUGUCAGACCGUAAUGUUGCAGCUCAAAGCAGCUUUUCUAACUCAAUAACUAGCUGAAUAGCUGCAGUCUAAUGUAACAGCUGGAAUUGUAACAUCUGUCCUGAUAUUGAUUAGAGGUCGACAGAUAUGGGAUUUUCAAUGGCCGAUGCCGAUACCGAUUUUUUAAAAAAAUUUUCAGCCGAUGGCCGAUAUCUAAAGCCGAUUGUAGGAGCCGAUUUUUAAGGCCGAUAUCCUUUUUUUUUCUUUUAAAGCACAUCGAUUACAAAAGGCAAUUUAAACACUAAAAGUAUAUACAUGUAUAUAUUACAAAUUAAAUACACUAGUAGAACUCUAACAUUUAUUGAACACAAAAAGUGAAAAAGUACAAUAACAUAAAAAAAAAAUACUUAAAGUUUACAAAAAAUACAAUUAAAAAGUAACCUGAAAGUGGUUAGGGUUAGGCUUGUUGUUGCCUGGCUCACUCGCUCCGCUCAUGCUCCGCUCUCUGAGUGCCGGGGGUCCUUCUAAGGGAAAAGCAGUCGCGGCAGCUGCCCCUACGGGUGCCUGACCACAAAUCGGCUUUUUAUUUGUAUCGGCCGAUGGCCGAUAUUGAAAAAAGUCCAUAUAUCGGCCCAAAAUAUCGGCCGGCCGAUAUAUCAGUCUACCUCUAAUAUUGAUCAUGAAAUAUUGAUCAGAAUUCUAAUGGUCAGCUGUCGUCCCUGACAUUUCACAUUAAAAUCUUUACUCGUGUUGUGAACUUUGGUAAGAAGCAGAAACUUUAGCGUUGCCAUGGAUACAUGAGUGUUAAAUUCAGUCCAUGUUUCAUUUUGGGAAAUGCAGUCCAGCAGAUGAGUUUGUCUUUACUGCCAGCUACCGUUCAGUCUGAGAUAUUAAGAAUAAAUAAAUGUGCAUAAUGUGGAAAUGAACAGAUUUCAUUUUUAUUUAUUCCUACAGCUGUUGCAGGAAAGUUCCAGAAUGUGGAGGAAUUUAGUCUCACAAUCACAGACAAUAAAUAUUAUCUGAAUGUCGGGUUAUUGUUGUUUAUCAGCACAAUACAAAAAGAUUCAUGUGAGAAAUAUUCCAGUUAAGACUCUAGAAUAUCACGAUUUAUGUAAAUUUACCUCAAUAAUAUAAAUGUUCAGGUUAAGAUUGCACAGUGAUAUUUAUUAUGUAAGUUUAGCUGAUUAAAGUUUAUGACUCUGCACUACAAUAUUAUUUAAAUUUCCAUCAUUAUUAUAAUAUUUAGGGUCAGACCCUACAGUAUUGAGAUUAAGAAAUCAAAUAUUUCAUAAAAUGUAAAUACACUGAACAAAUUUGGAUAUAUUUAAGUGAGAAUCUACAAUAUUAUUUGACACAAAUCUCUCUAAAUCAAAAUUUGAAUCAUUUUUACUCCAAACAUUUACUGGACUGAUUUAAAUACUACUAUCACUCCUUUCUAAUCCUUUGCUGUACGUUCAAACCUGAGGCCUUAAAUAGAAACACACAAGUAUCUGUUUGAAGGAACUUCUGCAGAGUCCUGGUUCCAGAACAUGAUGUUAGAAUUAUAGACAAACUUUAACAAAAGCUGCCUGAGAGUUUACAGGUUUUUAUGUUGGAUUUCUUCAGUAAUUUAAUGAGCAUUAUCAGCAAUAAUCAAGUGUUCAUUUGAUGAACUUCAUUUCCUAAAACAUCCAGAGUUGGAACUCAUAUCUUUGGCAGCUGUAAAGUUUCUGCUCCUUCAAAGUUCACAACACAAUGAAUGAAUUCCUAAAACACUCUCAGUGCUGGAGAGCAUUUGUGAUGCUGAAGCAGUGACCAGUUUUUCUGUUUCUUCUCUGGAGAUGCACAAUGAGGGACGUCUGCAGAGACUGAGAAAGAGUCUCACCACAUCCUGACAUGAGGAAAAAGACUUUAUUGAAGACUACAAUGAGAAAAACUAUCAGACAGCAGACGACUGCAUUCAAGAGAGGAAGACUAUCAAACAUCCACGUCAGCUGAUGAAGGUCCAAGAGUCUCACCGAACAAACAACCUACAGAAUGAAGACCUCAAAUCUGAUUGGACGGCCUCCUAUUAAGCCACGUGUGAACAAAUGCCUCUAAGUUGAUUUGUUUUCUAAAAUAAAUCUAGUUUGAGUCCUAA